AGUUUGUUAAAUAUGUUUUAAUACUAAUUACUGUACACUUUGUGUAAUACUUAUAACUGUGGCUGGAAAAUUGUUAAUUUUAUAUUAUAAUUUCAUUGCUUAUACAUUCAAACUAUUUGAUUAGUUAUUUAAAUGUUAACUCUUUAGAGAAGUAGGCUUAACAAUAGUAAUAAACUAAAUAGUAUACUGUAUAGUAUUCUAUUUCUAGUAAUGAUUAACUUUGUAAAUCGCAAUAUAUUGCCGUUGUAAUACAUUACGAGACGAUAUUGUGUUUAUAUUUUGAGAAUUCAUUGAUUAUACACAAAGGAAAAGAAAAUACUUAAUAAUUUUAGUCAUUGCAAAUUCCAUUGUGAGUUUGAGUAUAAGUAUAACUUAAGUUACGACAGUGAAUAACAGUAACACUAACAAUAUACUUUUUUUUUAACUUUUACUCUGUUUUAGGCAUUGAAAUCUGUUAUUCAUGUAAGGUGUAAGAUAAUCAUGAAGGACUAUAAACUAAAAUCUAUAUUCAUAGUAGCGAGACUGUAAGUUGUAACACUCAAUAUUGCAACUAAACAUUAAGUCGUAAUGAAUCAUUAAAUGAUUAAUGUUUAUUACAACUUAUAAGUGUUAGUAAUAUCGAGCUUACUCGGUUUUGUAAGGCCUAACUAAAAAGCUGUUACUGUUAGUUGUAUGUAAGUUUAAGUGUGGUUUUAGGCUUAAUUUUCUGUUCUACAUAUAUUAAUUAUAGAUUAGUGUAUUCAGAAAAGCGAUUUUUAAGUUACUGUCAACUGUAAAAAAAAAAAAUACUGUUGCUGGUCAACUGGUAAGUUAGCAUGCUACUCUUACUAAUACUUUGAGUUUGAGUAGGACUGCUGCAGUGCUAGUACUAAUAGAAAUUAGUAUGGCAUACCUAUGAAGUAAUAAAUUUUCUUUGGUGGAAUUUGGUGUAGUCUUAAGUGUAAGUCCUAAAAGAGGGUUAAAAUUCAACUGCAAAUAAUGAAGAAAUGAAAACUUAUCUUAGGUAAAAAAGUUAUUUAGAUUUCUUAUUUUUUGAGGCAGGUACGAGGUCGAUCAAAUUGACCAAGCCUGUAUAGUAAUGGUAGAGAAAAUAACCAGUAUAAAGUUUCACAGAAAAAAAACAACUAAUGUUUAUUUAGGAGGUUCUUUAGGUUAGGCAACUGCUAAAAAGUGGUUUAAUCUUAAGAUGAAAAUUGCCUUGCAUUCACAAUAGUUUGAGUCAGACUGACUAUAUAAAUUCAUAGAUAAAUCUUUGUUUAAUAUACUUAAUGAAAAAAUUGGAUAUUUUGUGUACAAGAUACUUGAAAUGUUUACUAAAAGCCUGCCAAAUUUUCUGAAGAUCCACUUACUGCAUUAAAAGUUACAGUAUUUAUACUUCCAUGGUUACCUAUUUGUUACAUGGUUGUCACAAGGUUAAAAUGACUAACGCUGUAUCGAUAGAGUUAAAGCAUUUUAUUUUAUUUUUUACGUCAUAUUCUCGAGUAGAGUGAAUGAGUUAUGGAAAGAGUUGCUGUUGGCGGUAGUUGAGGCACAUACUGUACAGGAGUUUACUUGGGCAACCUUGAAGGACCAAAUGGCCCAUUGCUGUCUGACAUUUGAAGGCUGAAGUUUCGUCUCGUACGCAACGAAAAGACAAUCUUUUUCGAUGUUCUCUCUGUUCCCGUAGUUUUAACCGUAAAGGUAAUUUAUCGAGACAUAUGGUGUUACAUUCGCCCGCGAGCAGAAAAUUCACGUGUCAGAUUUGUGGAGUGGAAUUUUUCUGGAGGCAUCACCUUGUCAGACAUUGGAGGUACAAUCACCCUGAACAAUCAUCAUUGAUACCGGAGUCAUCACGUUACGAUGGGUGGAAGACGGAGAGGUAGACCACCACGCGCUGCACACUUAUCUCGUGAGCCGGGCCUCGUCUGUCCUAUCUGCAAGACCAGUUAUACCAACAAGACCAUCCUCAGGAAUCAUAUGAACAUGCAUCGACCCCAGCGACAAGUCUACCACUGUGAAAUCUGCAACAAGGGCUUCUAUUGGCAGACAAAUGUGUAUGCUCACAAACGAAUGACUAUUACGUGCACCAAACAGCGCCAUCUUCAAAUAAGAGCGUAACUUCUGACCUGGUAUGCCCUAUAUGUAGCAAGAGAUAUUCAAACAAGUCCAACUUGAUUCAGCACAUGGCUAUUCACAGACCUCAAAGAAAGAAGUUUUACUGCGACAUCUGCUUCAAGUCAUUUCUAUGGUCGAACAGUAGAAAUGCUCACAAAAGGAACGUUCACGGAGUGUUUUAAUUAUUAUAGUUUAAUAAUAUUAUAUUAAGAAACACCCAAGAAUUUGUUACUAUUAUUCUUUGGUCCCACUAGACUGUUAUUUUUGAUUCCAUGGAAUAAAAACAUUUCUUUAAACUUCGUACUUGGCGGUUUUGUUUGUUUUAGUAUGAAGCUACACAAUGGAUUAUCUGCGCGGGAAUCGAAUUCUGAAUUGUCUCAAUUCUUAAUUUAAUAUAAUAUCCUAAGAGAUAAACUCGUGCUUCGCGUACAAUGUAUGAACUAAGAUUAUUUCACUGCUGAAACAUUAGUUAGGAAAAAAAUUGAUAUAAACGUGAUUGAAUUCUCAA